rnacentral:misc_RNA from 1 species
GGAUCCUGUUAAGGUUGUGGCCCAAGUACUGAUGUACCCUUUCUUCAUUGGAAGCACCCCCACACGUUCUGAAGUUAAGCUGGCAAACUCAUACUUCUAUGACAAGGCUAUGUGCAAACUGGCAUGGAAACUCUUCCUACCUGAAGAAGAAUUCAACCUAGAUCAUCCAGCUGCCAACCCUCUCCUCCGUUGGAGACAACCACCUCUUAAGUACAUGCCGCCAUCGCUAAUAGUUGUGGCAGAACAUGACUUUAUGAGAGACCGGGCCAUUGCUUACUCAGAAGAACUUCGGAAAGUUAAUGUGGAUGCGCCCCUCCUUGAUUACAAGGAUGCAGUGCAUGAAUUUGCUACACUUGAUGUGCUUCUCCAGACACCACAGGCCAAAGCAUGUGCAGAGGAUAUCUCUAUAUGGGUGAAGAAGUAUGUAUCUCUUAGAGGCCAUGAGUUCUCUUACUGAAUGAAUACGAAAGGUAAAAACAGAUUAUGAUGGGAAAAGAUUUGCUUUGUUGGCCUAGAAGCACGGUUACCCCUUUGUCAUUUAUGAUGUUGGAGGGGAGCAGCAUUCUUGUAAAUAUGCUGGGGAUAAUAGCUUCCAGCCAGUUUUCCAUUAGUUACUACUUAUGUGAGGAUUUGUUUCCUUUCUUGUAAAGAAUAUAGUGUUUAUCAGAACUUGGGAUUUU